UGGGUAGCAAUAACUUAUAUCAAAUAAAGUACAACGACUGGUUGGAUAUUUGAUGAUGCACCUGUUCUGAAAUUUCCAUGAAAUAAACUAAUGGAUGCUUUAUUGAAAAUCAAGACGAAGCAUGGACAUCGGUGUAUCAGCGUAUUUAAAUUGGCAAGUCGGGUAUGACUAUAGUUAUAUACAAAUUAUAAUUUCCUGUUUGUUCCUUCACCACUAGAGUCCUUGAUAGUAAUGCGUCUUAUAUAUGUAGAUCUCCUAUAUAUAUAUAUACUUCAGAUUUUUUCAAUUACUUAUGAUUUAUAUAUUUUCAAGCAUGAUUACAACAGCUAAGAUUUGCUUUUUUGCUUGUCUGAUCGGUAAGUAAACAUUAUUGCCUCACUAAAAUUAUUUAUUGCUUGAUAUGCAUGUCAAAUGAGCAAGUCAGGUACACAUCAUGAUUACGUUAACACGAUUCCGUCACGAUGAAGCAUGCUAUAUGGACUCUUACACUUUAAACAACAGUUUCUUUAUAUACUCAUGUCAUACAUCUUUUAACCGACGUACAUGUUACAGGAAAUUAUUUUAACUUAUUAACGUGUGAUAUCAACUGAGAACAGAACAAAUCAACAUAUGAUUUAUAUUCAUUCGCAAAAUUAACGCUUUUAUUCGCUCUCACCCCAUAUGGAAUUUACUGAACCCAUAUAUAUCGUAUUAGGUCACUAGCACACUAUGUAACGCGUUUAUAGAAUUUCAUAUAUAUGUCUCUUUCAAAUCCGCAUCUGUAUCAACGCAAGACGCCAUUACGAUCCUACAAGACCGUUGAAUUAUAUUGAUCAAUGGUUGAUAUAUGUAUAAUAUUGCAAAAAACAGUAUCAUAUACACGUUUUCAUGUUCCUAAAAUAGGUGUGGAAACUCUUGUCAGACACGGUAUCUUAAUAACAUCAAUUUAAGUAUUGAAUAUUGGAUUUAAUAUUUUUGAUUCGAGCGUCACUGUUGAGUCUUUUGUAGACGAAACGCGCGUCUAGCGCAAAUAUUAAAUUUCUAUCCUGGUAUCUAUGAUGAGCCCUAUUUUAUCGUAUUUUAUAUUAAAGACCCUCAAAAUCAGAUUCAUACAAAUAUUUGACUCAUUUUGCCAUGUAAUUUACUACACAAUCUACUCUCCAAUACAGACAAAACGAUGCAUAUAGAUACGUUUUAAAUGAAGGCAGGUUUUUAAUAAUUUCCUGUUACAAAUCUUUGAAUUUUUUGAAAAACUAAGGAUUGUCUUAUACAAGGAAUAGAAUUCCUUAACCAUAUUUGACACAACUUUUUGGAAUUUUAGUUCAUUAAUGCUCUUCAUCUUUGUACUUGUUUGGCUUUAUAAAUUUUUUGAUAUGUGCGUCACUGAUGAGUCUUAUUAAAUCAAGUUUCACUAAGAUAGCAAAAUAACAACAAACGCAUGAGUUUUAUUUGAUAUUGUCAACUGAGUUACACAGUUUACAUAAUAUGUUGUUACAUGAGAUAUGAAGACAACAAUUGUUUCCCUUUUAUCCACAUGAAUCAAAACAGUUGACAACAUGUACUAUAUGAGGAGAGUUUCGCAAACCUCUUCCCAACAUCUUUGUCUUGGCGCCUUCUAAAGUCAUGAAUACAAAACACGCAUAGCAUAAUCAAGUUAAAUUAUAAUACUGUAAAACUGAAAAUUCAUUUGAAAAGUAUUAAUGGUCUAUAGCCAAUUUUACAGAUGCACAAUUGUAAUUAUACUCAGAGUGAAAUGUAUCGUGAAAAUAUGAACAAGUUUGCCUAAGGUGUAAUAUGUACAACUGUAUGAUUAUGUGUAUUGAUAGUCCUUUUAAGGAUUUUUAAAUCCUUAUUGCUUUCAAAAUAACAUCACUUGUGAUUAACAUGUACGUACUAAGACAUUCGAAUAAAAAAAACAUGUUCUAUCUGCAGGAAAAUCAUAUAAUAUGAAUAAAAAUCAUAUCACUUAUGUACGGAAAAUCCUAUUAUGUAUGAAUAAAAAUCAUAUUAUAUACAAAUAAAGAUCAUAUUAAAUAUGAAUAAAAAUAAUAUUAAAAAUGAAUAAAAAUCAUAUUAAAUAUGAAUAAAAAUCAUAUUAAAUAUGAUAAUAAAAAUCAUAUUUAAUAUGAAUAAAAAUCAUAUUGAAAAUUAAUAAAAAUCCUAUUAUAUAUAAAUCAAAAGACAUCACAUGCUAUAUUUUAGCCUUUACCAUGUGUCAGCCAUGUAACGACGUAAGUGGUUGUGAGACUACACCAUGUUCAAGGCCAUUUAUAAAAGAAUGCUUUUCUCGGAUUUGUGCUUGUGUUAGUCAAAUUGGUAAGAAUUAAAAGUGUAUUUUAAUGCAACAAUAGAGGUUUUUUUGUUGACAAAAUGGUACUCUCUAUAAAACAUGAACUUCUUCAAAAAAAAAAUUGGCACAGCCGAAUUUUCUUACUUAAUUGCAAGUUGUAAGGAAUAAAAAUUUUAAAGCUAAUAAUGGAAAAGAGGUUUUAAUAAAUAAAACAAAUCGUAAGAAAGAGAAGUAUAUUCCUCUGGUUGUUGAUGAAGCUUGAAAUGAAACACACAAACUUAUGUUAGAAUGAUCUUGAUUCAUUACACUAUUGAGGAUUACUGCUUUAGGGAUGCAGCUAAUAGUGAAAUAUAGGCAUUAAAUUCAUGUGUGAGUGACGUAAAAAAAUAUUUGAAUAUUACAAUAAUGUUAAUUAGGUCAUGAUAACAUAUACAAACAUUUUGGUAAUGUAUUGGAUACUACAAUGCAAACUAUAAUAGUUACUAAGAAGAAACUACAAAAAGAAAAAAUAUAAAAAAGAAUGGAUUUUUGACAAUAAGAUAGGUAUUGUUCUUGAAUGACGACGUGUUUCCUUUGUUGUUGUUGUUUAAUUAGUUAUCAAAGGUACCAGGAUUAUAAUUUCAUACGUCAGACACGCAUUUCGUCUUCAUAAGACUCAUCAGUGACGCUCAUAUAAAAAUAUUUAUAAAGCCAAACAAGUACAAAGUUGAAGAGCAAUGAGGAUCCAAAACUCAAAAAGUCUAAGGUAAUCUAUGCCUGGGAUUAGAAAAUCCUUAGUUUUUCGAAAAAUUAAAAGUUUUGUAAACAGGAAUUUUAUAACAAUGACCACAUUAUUGACAUUUAUGUCACACCGAAUUAACUAUAUGGAUAAAGAGAAACUGAAACAGGUAAAAAUUAUCACAAUGUCAAAAUCUACUGGUAGGUUAUAUUCAGUCAGUAUUGUUUAAGGUGGUACCCAACAUUUUAACUAAAAUUAAUUUGGCUCGUUUAAUAUUCAUUAAAAUUUGUCAAAGUAUUUACUUUGACCCUUUAACAAAAAUAUAGAAAUUUCGAAAACUUUGAACCAACCGUUUAAUCAGAAAAAUUACACUGGUUAUAUAGCAGUUUGACAAACUACAAUUUUGAUCAUUGAGAAGCUUAAUAUUCCUUUUACAACACAACGUAAUUAAAACGUUAAGCCGACUUUACAGAGUUAUCUCCCUGUAGUGUUAGGUACCACCUUAAUAGUCGUAAUCACUACAAAACAAACAAAUAUUAUUAUUGUUUUCCUGGAACUGUUGGAUUCUAUUUUUGGAUUAAGUAUUAAGUCAAAUAAAGCUAAGUGAGUUAUACAAGCUCCUUUGACCAAUUGUUUACUCUUCUAUUUUUUUUUGUAGAAUGUGCAACUGCAUUAGAGUGUAUGCAUUUUAAUGUUUGUCAUAGAAGUAGAGCAUUAUGUGCAAAAGGACGUUGUGCUUGUACGAGUAAUUAGAAAUGCAAAAGGAAAGAUUUCAUAUAACAAAUGCUCAAAAAUUUAUGUCAUAUGAAACGGCAAUCAAUGUAAUUUUCUCUUUUAUCAUAUAACGUUAUACUGACCGAAGACAUUAUAUGUACUUAAAUAUUAUUUAUGUUUUACAAACUACACAAA
rnacentral:lncRNA from 1 species